CUGUAGUACACCGAAUGACCGGUAGGGGUCAGUGUCUAGGUGAAAAUGCAGUGGUUCGUUGGUUUGUACAUAAAAAGCGAUAAUGUCUAAGAAGCCUGUAGUACACCGAAUGACCGGUAGGGGUCAGUGUGUAGGCGCAAAUGCAGUGGUUCGUACAUGAAAUGCAAUAGUGUCUGAGAUGCCUGUAGUUACACCAAAUGACUGGUAGGGGUCAGUGUCUUGGUGAAAAUGCAGUGAUUUGUACAUGAAAUGCAAAAACGUCUAAGAAACCUGUAGUACACCGAUGACCGAUAGGGGUCAGUGUGUAGGCCCAAAUGCAGUGGUUUGUACAUGAAAUGCAAUAAUAUCUGAGAAGCCUGUACUACAUUGAAUGACCGAUAGGGGUCAGUGUGUAGGCAAAAAAAUUGUAUAUCGUUUGUAGUUUUAACCCAACAGAUUUUUAACCAAAACAGAUUUUAAACAACAGAUUUUACAUAAACAGCUAGGUGAGUAUAAGGUAACGAAAUAACCGUGCAAAACGAAAG